ACUCUCAGCAACGGAUAUCUUGGCUCUUGCAACGAUGAAGAACGCAGCGAAAUGCGAUACGUAGUGUGAAUUGCAGAAUUCCGCGAAUCAUCGAGUUUUUGAACGCAAGUUGCGCCCGAGGCUUGUCCGAGGGCAUUUCCGCUAAAGCGUCA
rnacentral:rRNA from 1 species